UACGUAGGGGGCUAGCGUUGUCCGGAAUCAUUGGGCGUAAAGAGCGUGUAGGCGGCCCGGUAAGUCCGCUGUAAAAGUCAAAGGCUCAACCUUUGAAUGUCAGUGGAUACUGCCGGGCUAGAGUCCGGAAGAGGCGAGUGGAACUCCUGGUGUAGCGGUGGAAUGCGCAGAUAUCAGGAGGAACACCGGUGGCGAAGGCGGGAUCCUGGGCCAGUACUGACGCUGAGGAGCGAAGGCGUGGGGAGCAAACAGG
rnacentral:rRNA from 1 species